rnacentral:rRNA from 1 species
UACGGAGAGUGCGAACGUUGUUCGGAUUCACUGGGCGUAAAGGGCGCGUAGGCGGCUUGCCAAGUCAGGGGUGAAAUCCAGCAGCUUAACUGUUGAAGUGCCUUUGAUACUGGCGAGCUCGAGGGAGGUAGGGGUAUGCGGAACUUCUGGUGGAGCGGUGAAAUGCGUUGAUAUCAGAAGGAACGCCGGUGGCGAAAGCGGCGUACUGGACCUCUUCUGACGCUGAGGCGCGAAAGCUAGGGGAGCAAACGGG